rnacentral:tRNA from 1 species
UAAGAUGUAGCUCAGUUGGGAGAGUGCUUAUCUUGUAAGCAUGAGGUCCUGGGUUCAAUCCCCAGCACCAAAA